rnacentral:rRNA from 1 species
UGGGGAAUUUUGGACAAUGGGGGCAACCCUGAUCCAGCCAUGCCGCGUGAGUGAAGAAGGCCUUCGGGUUGUAAAGCUCUUUCGGCGGGGAAGAAAUGGCAACGGCUAAUAUCCGUUGUUGAUGACGGUACCCGCAUAAGAAGCACCGGCUAACUACGUGCCAGCAGCCGCGGUAAUACGUAGGGUGCGAGCGUUAAUCGGAAUUACUGGGCGUAAAGCGUGCGCAGGCGGUUAUGCAAGACAGGUGUGAAAUCCCCGGGCUCAACCUGGGAACUGCACUUGUGACUGCAUGACUAGAGUGCGUCAGAGGGAGGUGGAAUUCCGCGUGUAGCAGUGAAAUGCGUAGAGAUGCGGAGGAACACCGAUGGCGAAGGCAGCCUCCUGGGAUGACACUGACGCUCAUGCACGAAAGCGUGGGGAGCAAACA